rnacentral:rRNA from 1 species
AACGAACGCUGGCGGCAGGCUUAACACAUGCAAGUCGAGCGCCCCGCAGGGGGAGCGGCAGACGGGUGAGUAACGCGUGGGAAUCUACCCAUCCCUACGGAAUAGCUCCGGGAAACUGGAAUUAAUACCGUAUACGCCCUACGGGGGAAAGAUUUAUCGGGGAUGGAUGAGCCCGCGUUGGAUUAGCUAGUUGGUGGGGUAAUGGCCUACCAAGGCGACGAUCCAUAGCUGGUCUGAGAGGAUGAUCAGCCACAUUGGGACUGAGACACGGCCCAAACUCCUACGGGAGGCAGCAGUGGGGAAUAUUGGACAAUGGGGGCAACCCUGAUCCAGCCAUGCCGCGUGAGUGAUGAAGGCCUUAGGGUUGUAAAGCUCUUUCACCGGGGAAGAUAAUGACGGUACCCGGAGAAGAAGCCCCGGCUAACUUCGUGCCAGCAGCCGCGGUAA